UUUGGCAAAAUGAUUUAAUUCUUGAUUAAGUUUUGUAAAUUACAGGAAUCCCGUCUUACGACCGUCAAUAUAAUAAAAAUAGAUUCAACACCCCCUUCAAAAAAAAAAAAAAAAGAAAGAAAAAAAAUCUCUUGAAGAGAGGGAGGAAGUGACUGACCUGCUGGUCUUACGUUGGGAACUACCAUAUCUCAAAGCUUUGCAUAUAGUUGCUUAAAAAAAAAAAAGUUGACCAGGUCGUACCAUAACCAGUUGUCCAUUACUUAUGGCUGCUCUGACAAUGUAUAAUCCUUUAUGGUCUUCAGAGGAUGGCUGGUAACAGUCCAUGUUCAAAAUGAAGCCUGAGAACUUGAUCUUCCCUCUGCAAAAAAAAAAAAAAAAAAAAAAAAAAAAAAAAAAAAAAAAAAUCUCAGGAUUUAGCUCCUACUGAACACAAAUCUCUUCUGUGUGUUAUCUACACACCUGUAUAUCAUCAAACCUCUUUUCUUACUGGAGACUUGAUGGGGCCGUUCAGGCUGUGUUGCCACGAAGGUGCUGGCAGCAGAUAAGUUAGCUAGUCAGGAUUCAGGUGAGUUGUCAUGUCCUCUGGAGGAGGAUCCUGCCAAUGUGCUUGGGUGUCUUGAAUGCCAAGCCGGGGUCUUGGAAAUCAUCCAGGCCUGUUAAUGUUGGUCCGUGGAAGUGGAGUGAUGCUAGUGAGUGGACAAGAACAGUGCGGUGGGAGCGGUGGCGAGGACAGUGGAGUGUCUUGGCUGUGUAGGCAGUAAAGGGUGUCUGUCAAGCAUAGCUUUUACAUGUGGGCAUUGUGGCAUCAAACCUUAAUAUGUAAAUGUAACGAGCUCCACAAGGGUUUUUCCUCCUCAAGUUAUUCAAAUCGCGCGGGUAAGGUUAGGUUUAUAGAGGGCGCAGUGGUAGUAGGAGAACGACAACAGCAGGACGCCAUUGCUAUCAUAGCCCCUUGGCCGCCUGUGCCACUGGUGAGAGAAGUUCUUUGGACUGUGACCUUGCUGCUGUGCAAUGUUAUUCCUCUUCGAGGUUUUGGUGAGCUGAGGGCCGAGCAGGAACACCUUGACUGAACGUAUCGUGCCUGAGUGGACACCUGGGGCGGAGGGACAGCCAUGCGUGCAGCUGAGUCCAGAAAGAAGAACAAGAAGAAGAAGAAGAAGAAGAGGAGGAGCAAGAAGAAGAAGAAAAAGAUUCGAGAUGCAGAGAUAUUAAUUUUAGUUUAAAUUCUGAGGUGUAGUGUUACGAAUGUAAGAAAAAGAAGUCACAGAAAGAGGAAAAGUGGUGUAUGAAUAAAAGAUGCUGAAAACUAUGUUUUCAAGGGAAAAAAAAUAAACACUAGUACAAUUAAAGAAUUUAUUUAAAUUAACUAACAAAUUAACUUUAACUCUUUCCUGGUUCGUUCUUUCUUUCUUUCUUUCUUUCUUUCUUUCUUUCUUUCUUGUUAGCCCUUGGUUGCUCUCCCUAAUGCAUAGAAACUUAUAUCCUAGGAUAGUAAAUUAACCAAGGAUUGUCCAAAAGUUGUGACGCUUUUGUGGUAUUUUUCCCCCUGCCACCAUGCCCUUUGUCAUUGUUGCUUGUGGCGCCAUUAUUUCCUUUCCAUGUGCCAUUAUUUCUCGUGCCAUUAAUUCUUGUACCA